ACGAACGCUGGCGGCAGGCUUAACACAUGCCAGUCGAGCGCAUCCUUCGGGGUGAGCGGCGGACGGGUGAGUAACGCGUGGGAACGUGCCCUCUUCUACGGAAUAGCCUCGGGAAACUGAGAGUAAUGCCGUAUACGCCCGCAAGGGGAAAGAUUUAUCGGAGGAGGAUCGGCCCGCGUUGGAUUAGGUAGUUGGUGGGGUAACGGCCUACCAAGCCGACGAUCCAUAGCUGGUUUGAGAGGAUGAUCAGCCACACUGGGACUGAGACACGGCCCAGACUCCUACGGGAGGCAGCAGUGGGGAAUCUUGGACAAUGGGGGCAACCCUGAUCCAGCCAUGCCGCGUGAUCGAUGAAGGCCUUAGGGUUGUAAAGAUCUUUCAGCUGGGAAGAUAAUGACGGCACCAGCAGAAGAAGCCCCGGCUAACUCCGUG
rnacentral:rRNA from 1 species